ACUGGGUUUUCUGCACCAACAAUCUGCCAGAGCAUCUUAAUCAGAUAUAUUAGAAAUGGAUAUAAACAGUACUACAAACUACUACGAGUUAAUCAUAGAUAAUGCUAUUUUCGUAGUUACAUGUUGCUUCCAAUUCAUUUGUAUGGAUUAAAGCAAUAGCAAAUGAAACAAAGUUUUCCCAGUUCACCAAAUUGUCAGGAAUGCAGUCACACACAACAGUAUGGAGAACAAGAAAGAACAAAUUGACAAUUCUAUGCAAUAAUUAUAACCAGAACCCUGUUCUAAUAAUGACAACUCCAGGUCUCAAGAAAUAAAUUUGCCACUAAGAAGCUUCAACGUAGCGAAAUCAUCCAAACUUAUUGAAAUUGUCCAUAAAAGGUCUCCGCUAUACUAGCACUAAGCCUUUCUUAUGUUUUCUCAAUGCUCCUCCAAUGCCUAAAGCUACGUACCAUUACCAAAAGAUGAAAGAUUAAAUCAAAAUAAAUAGGUCUUUAGUCCCGCUGUAGGAUAAGACGAUUCAUGAUCACGGGAACAUUAGCAAGCCAUGUGAUGGAAUAAUUCUGUAAUCUGAGAUUUAAUUUGUUCCCAAAAAAUUUGAGGUAAGGAACUUAGAUAGUAAGCAUGUUUUGAUUUGGAAUUGUUCAACAAGAGCAAAGAGGGGUUAAACUAGAGCACAGCAAGAUUGACAUUAUGUUUUCUUCUAUUUUCCAAAUAGGCAAAUACACACACAAGAACCGAAAGUAAUCACCAAAAAAUACUGUACCUAAACCCUAGUGAUAUAACAACAGAUUAAUUACCAAAUGGUAAAGGCAAACAUGGGCCUCUCGGUUGCAACUGAGUGCUCCUCAUUCACGAUUUGCAUAGAGAGCACAUAUCAAGAAAAUCUGACAUAGGAUUUCAGUGGCUUAUGAAACUAUCAAGAAAAACUCGUACACAUUCGGAGCGUGCACAUGUAUCACACCAUAUACUGACAGAUAUGCAUGUUUGAGUAAAUUCUCAUCUUCCACUUAGUUGACAUUCCAUGGAUUAACCAUGCCGGUUCCUAAGAGAGACGAUAAUAUGCAAAAAUAGUACUUGUAGUCAUACAAGUCCUAAAUCCUCCAUAAUAUGGAAAUUAUUUUAGCCAAGACACCAGAAGAGUUAAAAACACCAAAAGCAUCUCAACUACCAUAUUCACUGCCAUAACAAUAAUGCCACUGAUAAUUCCUAUUACAUGCAUCAGCACCAUAAUUUCAUAAUAUUAUAGCUACUGGUCAAUAUCACAACUGCCCUCCCUUCUUUCUUUCUCAAAACGCAGUGCAAUAUUACACUGUACCACCACUAUCAC
rnacentral:misc_RNA from 1 species